rnacentral:rRNA from 1 species
AUUGACGAAGUCUACCGAGCACGCCCUGAUGAAGAAGGUUUCGGAUCGUAAAACUCUGUUGUUAGAGAAGAACAAGGACGUUAGUAACUGAACGUCCCCUGACGGUAUCUAACCAGAAAGCCACGGCUAACUACGUGCCAGCAGCCGCGGUAAUACGUAGGUGCAAGCGUUGUCCGGAUUUAUUGGGCGUAAAGCGAGCGCAGGCGGUUUCUUAAGUCUGAUGUGAAAGCCCCCGGCUCAACCGGGGAGGGUCAUUGGAAACUGGGAGACUUGAGUGCAGAAGAGGAGAGUGGAAUUCCAUGUGUAGCGGUGAAAUGCGUAGAUAUAUGGAGGAACACCAGUGGCGAAGGCGGCUCUCUGGUCUGUAACUGACGCUGAGGCUCGAGAGCGUGGGGAGCAAACAGGAUUAGAUACCCUGGUAGUCCACGCCGUAAACGAUGAGUGCUAAGUGUUGGAGGGUUUCCGCCCUUCAGUGCUGCAGCAAACGCAUUAAGCACUCCGCCUGGGGAGUACGACCGCAAGGUUGAAACUCAAAGGAAUUGACGGGGGCCCGCACAAGCGGUGGAGCAUGUGGUUUAAUUCGAAGCAACGCGAAGAACCUUACCAGGUCUUGACAUCCUUUGACCACUCUAGAGAUAGAGCUUUCUUCGGGGACAAAGUGACAGGUGGUGCAUGGUUGUCGUCAGCUCGUGUCGUGAGAUGUUGGGUUAAGUCCCGCAACGAGCGCAACCCUUAUUGUUAGUUGCCAUCAUUUAGUUGGGCACUCUAGCGAGACUGCCGGUGACAAACCGGAGGAAGGUGGGGAUGACGUCAAAUCAUCAUGCCCCUUAUGACCUGGGCUACACACGUGCUACAAUGGGAAGUACAACGAGUCGCUAGACCGCGAGGUCAUGCAAAUCUCUUAAAGCUUCUCUCAGUUCGGAUUGCAGGCUGCAACUCGCCUGCAUGAAGCCGGAAUCGCUAGUAAUCGCGGAUCAGCACGCCGCGGUGAAUACGUUCCCGGGCCUUGUACACACCGCCCGUCACACCACGAGAGUUUGUAACACCCGAAGUCGGUGAGGUAACCUUUUUGGAGCCAGCCGCCUAAGGUGGGAUAGAUGAUUGGGGUGAAGUCGUAACAAGGUAACCGUA